UACGGGGGGAGCAAGCGUUGUUCGGCUUUACUGGGCGUAAAGGGUGCGUAGGCGGUCAGCACAAGUCAGUUGUGAAAUCUCCGGGCUUAACUCGGAAAGGUCAACUGAUACUGUGCGACUAGAGUGCGGAAGGGGCAACUGGAAUUCUCGGUGUAGCGGUGAAAUGCGUAGAUAUCGAGAGGAACACCUGCGGCGAAGGCGGGUUGCUGGGCCGGCACUGACGCUGAUGCGCGAAAGCCAGGGGAGCGAACGGG
rnacentral:rRNA from 1 species